rnacentral:lncRNA from 1 species
AAUGAUGCAAUGUUGAGGGGCAGCACACUCUUGUGCAGGCCCCCCUGUCCAACACCUCACAGGGAGUUGUCAUAUACCUGCGACUGAGACUUUCCUUUAGUCUACAGGCUUCUGGGGACACUGUCUGUUCAAGAGUAAAGUGAUUUGUUUAUGGAAGAAAAGAAAACGAGUCAGAUCUGUUCAUCAGAAAAGACAAGAAAGAAGAAUUAGCUUACCUGAUGGAGUAAGGGUGAUGAAUACAUCAGUCACUGAAAGGAGGUAGAGCGGCUGCCCUUUCUCUUGCUGCCUACUGUUUCUAACCCAUCCCCCCGCCCCUGAAGCACAGUCCUCCCUGCUUUUUCUAUACCUUCAGAUUGAUGGUUGAAGGGAAAAGACAAAUGGAGUUUGUUCAACCAAUAACUUUAACUUUAUAUACAACUCAAACCCAUAGACGUUUGGAUGAGGAUCUCUCAAGGAUUUCCCCGUAGAAUGAUGAGCACAAGUUAACCUCUAACAACCAUCAGAAACUCUUGGGAGAAGUUAACAACAAAAACAAAACGUCCUCAUGCUUGUCUCCUGCUCCCCAUUCUGGAGACGCCAUGCUAUGAGGAGCUCUCCGGAUAACUCUGCACCCUGCCAGAAAGCACUCUAUUAUGCUGUGAUUUUUUGGGGGAGUUCUGGACCAAUGGACCUGUGUGACCCUGACCUAACUAAAAGAGAACAAAGAAAGAGACUGUACUGAAACCCUGGCUG